UACAGAGGGUGCAAACGUUGCUCGGAAUUACUGGGCGUAAAGCGCGUGUAGGCGGCGUGUUAAGUCGACUGUGAAAGCCCAUGGCUCAACCAUGGAAGUGCAGUCGGUACUGGCAUGCUCGAGUCCUGGAGAGGGUGGCGGAAUUCCCAGUGUAGAGGUGAAAUUCGUAGAUAUUGGGAGGAACACCGGUGGCGAAGGCGGCCGCCUGGACAGGUACUGACGCUGAGACGCGAAAGCGUGGGGAGCAAACAGG
rnacentral:misc_RNA from 1 species